CCUACGGGGUGCAGCAGUGAGGAAUAUUGGUCAAUGGGCGCGAGCCUGAACCAGCCACGUAGCGUGAAGGAUGACUGCCCUACGGGUUGUAAACUUCUUUUAUAAAGGAAUACAGUGAGGCACGUGUGCCUUUUUGUAUUUACUUUAUGAAUAAGGAUCGGCUAACUCCGUUCCAGCAGCCGCGGUAAUACGGAGGAUCCGAGCGUUAUCCGGAUUUAUUGGGUUUAAAGGGAGCGUAGAUGGGUUGUUAAGUUAGUUGUGAAAGUUUGCGGCUCAACCGGAAAAUUGCAAUUGAUACUGGCAGCCUUGAGUACAGAUGAGGUAGGCGGAAUUCGUGGUGUAGCGGUGAAAUGCUUAGAUAUCACGAAGAACUCCGAUGGCGAAGGCAGCCUACUAAACUGCCACUGACAUUGAUGCUCGAAAGUGUGGGUAUCAAACAGGAUUAGAUACCCUAGUAGUC
rnacentral:rRNA from 1 species